GACGAACGCUGGCGGCGUGCUUAACACAUGCAAGUCGAACGGAAAGGCCCUGCUUGCAGGGUACUCGAGUGGCGAACGGGUGAGUAACACGUGGGUGAUCUGCCCUGCACUUCGGGAUAAGCCUGGGAAACUGGGUCUAAUACCGGAUAGGAGCCAUUUUUAGUGUGAUGGUUGGAAAGUUUUUUCGGUGUAGGAUGAGCUCGCGGCCUAUCAGCUUGUUGGUGGGGUAAUGGCCUACCAAGGCGGCGACGGGUAGCCGGCCUGAGAGGGUGGACGGCCACAUUGGGACUGAGAUGCGGCCCCGACUCCUACGGGAGGCAGCAGUGGGGAAUAUUGCACAAUGGGCGCAAGCCUGAUGCAGCGACGCCGCGUGGGGGAUGACGGCCUUCGGGUUGUAAACUCCUUUCGCUAGGGACGAAGCUUUUUGUGACGGUACCUAGAUAAGAAGCACCGGCUAACUACGUG
rnacentral:rRNA from 1 species